GAAACUUAGGUUCAAUUUAAACCAAAG
rnacentral:tRNA from 1 species